UUGAACGCUGGCGGCAGGCUUAACACAUGCAAGUCGAGCGGUUUGGUUAGCUUGCUAACCAGAUAGCGGCGAACGGGUGAGGAAUGCUUGGGAAUCUGCCUAGUAGUGGGGGAUAACGUUUCGAAAGGAACGCUAAUACCGCAUACGCCCUACGGGGGAAAGGGGGGGAUCUUCGGACCUCUCGCUAUUAGAUGAGCCCAAGUCGGAUUAGCUAGUUGGUGAGGUAAAGGCUCACCAAGGCGACGAUCCGUAGCUGGUCUGAGAGGAUGAUCAGCCACACUGGAACUGAGACACGGUCCAGACUCCUACGGGAGGCAGCAGUGGGGAAUAUUGGACAAUGGGCGAAAGCCUGAUCCAGCCAUGCCGCGUGUGUGAAGAAGGCCUUCGGGUUGUAAAGCACUUUAAGCGAGGAGGAAUGGCUCUGGGUUAAUACCCUUGAGCAGUGACGUUACUCGCAGAAUAAGCACCGGCUAACUCUGU
rnacentral:rRNA from 1 species